rnacentral:rRNA from 1 species
GGAGGAAUAUUGGGCAAUGGACGCAAGUCUGACCCAGCAACGCCGCGUGGAGGAUGAAGGUCUUUGGAUUGUAAACUCCUUUUGCAGGGGAAGAGUGAGGACGGUACCCUGAGAAUAAGUCACGGCUAACUACGUGCCAGCAGCCGCGGUAAUACGUAGGUGACGAGCGUUAUCCGGAUUUAUUGGGCGUAAAGCGCACGCAGGCGGCUUGACAAGUCUGACGUGAAAUCUCCCGGCUUAACUGGGAGCG